GAUGAACGCUGGCGGCGUGCCUAAUACAUGCAAGUCGAGCGAACGGACGAGAAGCUUGCUUCUCUGAUGUUAGCGGCGGACGGGUGAGUAACACGUGGAUAACCUACCUAUAAGACUGGGAUAACUUCGGGAAACCGGAGCUAAUACCGGAUGAUAUUUUGAACCGCAUGGUUCAAAAGUGAAAGACGGUCUUGCUGUCACUUAUAGAUGGAUCCGCGCUGCAUUAGCUAGUUGGUAAGGUAACGGCUUACCAAGGCAACGAUGCAUAGCCGACCUGAGAGGGUGAUCGGCCACACUGGAACUGAGCCACGGUCCAGACUCCUACGGGAGGCAGCAGUAGGGAAUCUUCCGCAAUGGGCGAAAGCCUGACGGAGCAACGCCGCGUGAGUGAUGAAGGUCUUCGGAUCGUAAAACUCUGUUAUAAGGGAAGAACAUAUGUGUAAGUAACUGUGCACAUCUUGACGGUACCUAAUCAGAAAGCCACGGCUAACUACGUG
rnacentral:rRNA from 1 species